UGGAUCCAGACUUUGAUCAUGGCUCAGGAUGAACGCUAGCUACAGGCUUAACACAUGCAAGUCGAGGGGAAACGAUAGAGAAAGCUUGCUUUUUCUAGGCGUCGACCGGCGCACGGGUGAGUAACGCGUAUCCAACCUGCCCACCACUUGGGAAUAACCUUGCGAAAGUAAGACUAAUACCCAAUGAUAUCUCUAGAAGACAUCUGAAGGAGAUUAAAGAUUUAUCGGUGAUGGAUGGGGAUGCGUCUGAUUAGCUUGUUGGCGGGGUAACGGCCCACCAAGGCGACGAUCAGUAGGGGUUCUGAGAGGAAGGUCCCCCACAUUGGAACUGAGACACGGUCCAAACUCCUACGGGAGGCAGCAGUGAGGAAUAUUGGUCAAUGGACGAGAGUCUGAACCAGCCAAGUAGCGUGCAGGAUGACGGCCCUAUGGGUUGUAAACUGCUUUUAUAAGGGAGUAAAGUGAGAGUCGUGACUCUUUUUGCAUGUACCUUAUGAAUAAGGACCGGCUAAUUCCGUGCCAGCAGCCGCGGUAAUACGGAAGGUCCGGGCGUUAUCCGGAUUUAUUGGGUUUAAAGGGAGCGUAGGCCGGAGAUUAAGCGUGUUGUGAAAUGUAGAUGCUCAACGUCUGCACUGCAGCGCGAACUGGUUUCCUUGAGUACGCACAAAGUGGGCGGAAUUCGUGGUGUAGCGGUGAAAUGCUUAGAUAUCACGAAGAACUCCGAUUGCGAAGGCAGCUCACUGGAGCG
rnacentral:rRNA from 1 species